UGGGGCGGGCACAGGGCAGGAGCGAACGAGUGGGAGAAUUAGCAGGAGGUGAAGUCAGAGGUAACUCGUUUUAUUGUUACUGAUUUAAAGGGUGAGACCUCCCGGAUCUGGUCAAAACUGUGCUUGUGUGUAACAGUACAGUCCUUCUAUAACUUAAGCCUUCAAGGA